rnacentral:rRNA from 1 species
UACGUAGGGUGCAAGCGUUGUCCGGAAUUAUUGGGCGUAAAGAGCUCGUAGGCGGUUUGUUGCGUCGGCUGUGAAAUCCCGAGGCUCAACCUCGGGUCUGCAGUCGAUACGAGCAAACUAGAGUGUUGCAGGGGAGACUGGAAUUCCUGGUGUAGCGGUGAAAUGCGCAGAUAUCAGGAGGAACACCGGUGGCGAAGGCGGGUCUCUGGGCAACAACUGACGCUGAGGAACGAAAGCGUGGGGAGCGAACAGG